CCAACGUGGACAUCCUGUGAGAUGGCUCUCAUGUGGCUCUGUCCGUGUGGCGUAAGGGAGCGUAGCACUUUAAGUGCCAUGACGUACAGUCCCGUUCCACGACGUUGGAUAGCAAGCUUGUCCCCGGCCUUCGGCUGGUGUGGACGGCGUCCUGUAUAUUCCUAGACCUUUCUAGAGCCCUUUGGGCAGUUACUGGGGAGGUAAACCAUGCAGUGCACACUC